AUUUCUAAGUCGGCUCUUAUACUACUAAUAGUUUUAAAACCCCAUUGAAACCAGAGGACCAGACUCAGCUCCCUCUCUCUCUCUCCCUCUUGAUUUUUGAAAGAAGAAUAGAAGCAGAAGAGAAUUAGGUAGGAAGCUCCGGUUUCUGAAAGGGGAACUUUUCUCCUUUUAUCCGCCGGAAACAAUGGAUGAUAGCAAAAACACGGCGACUAAUGUGGCCCAAGCGAUUCUCGCCGUCCUCGAUUAUAACUCCACUCCCGAUGCUCGCAAAGCGGCCGUUGCAUUCCUCGAAUCUAUUAAAUCUGGAGAUAUCAGGGUUUUAGCACACAUUUCCUUACUUCUAGUGAAAAGGGAGUGCUCUUCAGAAAUUCGAUUGCAUGCCUUCAAAAUGCUACAGCAUUUGGUUAGACUACGGUGGGAGGAACUAAGCCCAUCAGAGCGCAGGGAUUUUGCUAAGGUCUCUGUUGAACUAAUGUCAGAGAUUGCUAAUCCAUGUGAGGAAUGGUCUCUGAAGAGUCAGUCAGCUGCCCUUGUAGCUGAGAUAGUUAGAAGAGAAGGGUCCGAUCUUUGGCAGGAGUUGUUUCCUUCACUAGCGUCCUUGUCCGCACAGGGCCCGUUACAAGCUGAAGUGGUCUCAAUGAUGCUGAGAUGGCUUCCUGAAGAUAUUACUGUUCACAAUGAGGACUUGGAAGGUGACAGGCGCCGGGUACUGUUGCGGGGACUUACUCAAUCUUUGCCUGAGAUUUUGCCUUUAUUGUAUAAUCUUCUGGAGAGACACUUUGGAGCUGCGAUGAGUGAAGCUAGUAGGCAACAGGUUGACCUGGCAAAACAGCACGCGGCUGUGGUUAUAGCUUGUUUAAAUGCCAUCAAUGCAUAUGCUGAAUGGGCUCCUCUACUAGAUCUUUCUAGAUAUGGAAUCAUUAAUGGGUGUGGCGUCUUACUUUCUUCUCCUGACUUCCGUCUUCAUGCUUGUGAGUUUUUCAAACUUGUCUGCUCAAGAAAAAGACCUAGUGAUGCUUCUGAUACUGAAUUCGACUCUGCGAUUAGCAGUCUGUUUCAGAGUCUGAUGAAUGUCUCCAGAGAAUUCUUACACAGAUCAGCCUCAUGCGCUGGGGUUAUCGAUGAAAGUGAUUAUGAGUUUGCUGAGUGUAUAUGUGAAAGUUUGGUUUCUUUAGGUUCAACAAACUUGCAAUGUAUUGCUACCGAUGGUGGUGUUCUGGCUUUAUACCUUCAACAGAUGCUUGGUUUCUUUCAACACUUUAAGUUGGAUCUUCACUUUGAAGCAAUGCUCUUCUGGCUGGCACUAAUGAGGGAUUUACUUUCAAAGCCGAAGGCUGCCGUUUAUCCAAGUGGAGAGGGACCAGCAGUUGAUGGUGUUCAAAGUUCAAGCCAAAUUGAUAACGAAAAGAAAAAGAUUCUAGGUCUUAUAAGUGAUGAGAUCUCUAGCACAAUCCUGGAAGUAUCUUUCCAGCGGAUGCUUAAGAAAGAGAAAGUUCCUCCUCGAAUUGCUCUUUCUCUUGGGCCUCUAGAACUGUGGAGUGAUGAGUUCGAAGGAAAGGGAGACUUUGGCCAAUACCGUUCAAGGCUUUUAGACUUGAUUAAGUUUAUUGCCUCUCACAAGCCCCUCGUUGCCAGUGCUAAAAUAUCCGAAAGGAUUAUCACUCUCAUUAAGGAUCUAUUGGCUUCUCCAGUGCCUCUUCAGGAUGUAGCAGUGGUGGACAGCCAGCAGUUGGCAUUUGAUUGUAUUGUGGCAACCGUUUUUGAUGGAUCCAAUGAGUUUGCUGGUGGUAGUUCUGAAGUUCAUUUUUCAUUGCGAGGAAUAUUUGAAGGCUUGCUUCAGCAGCUUCUCUCUUUGAAAUGGACUGAGCCGGAACUUAUAAAAAUGCAUGGACAUUAUCUGGAUGCAAUGGGUCCAUUUCUCAAGUAUUUCCCAGAUGCAGUUGGAAGUGUGAUCAACAAAUUGUUUGAACUUCUUACCUCUCUUCCACAUAUUGUCAAGGAUCCAGCAACUAGUACUUCAAGAGUUGCAAGAUUGCAGAUUUGUACGUCUUUUAUACGCAUAGCUAAAGCUGCUGAUAAAAGUGUUUUGCCUCACAUGAAGUCUAUUGCUGAUACAAUGGCACAUAUGCAAAGAGAAGGAACUUUGCUCCGUGGGGAGCAUAACAUUCUGGGUGAAGCAUUUCUUGUUAUGGCUUCUGCAGCAGGAGCUCAACAGCAGCAAGAAAUUCUUGCUUGGUUACUGGAGCCAUUGAGCCAACAGUGGAUCCAAUUAGAGUGGCAGAAUUGCUAUCUAUCAGACCCUGUGGGUCUUGUUCGUUUGUGCUCCAACACACCCUUCAUGUGGUCUUUGUUCCACACAGUUACAUUCUUUGAGAAGGCACUCAAGAGAAGUGGACACAGAAAAAGCAACUUGAAUACGACCUCCGUAACAAGUCAAGAUUUGCAUCCUAUGGCUCAUCAUCUUUCUUGGAUGUUGCCACCUCUCUUGAAACUUCUCCGUGUUAUUCAUUCCCUUUGGUCUCCCUCAGUAUGUCAAACCCUACCCCCAGAGAUGAGGGCAGCUAUGACAAUGGCUGAUGUUGAGCGAUACAGUCUCCUUGGGGAAGCAAUUCCUAAAAUGUCAAAAGCCUCGUUGGUUUAUGCUGAUGGAUCUUUUGAUGGUGGUAGAGAAGGACAAUCUGAGGCAAAUGACUCUGGUGUGCGAAAUUGGUUGAAAGGCAUCCGAGAUAGUGGAUACUGUGUGUUGGGUCUAUCAGCUACAAUCGGAGAUACAUUCUUCAAAUGCCUAGAUGCUAACUAUGUCGCAGUAGCACUCAUGGAGAACUUACAGUCAAUGGAGUUCAGGCACAUGCGACAGCUUAUUCAUUCAUUUGUAGUUUAUGUAGUAAAAUCUUGUCCGGCAAAUAUGUGGGAUUCAUGGCUUGAAGUGCUCCUGCACCCAUUAUUUAUUUGUUGUCAGCAAGCUACUAGCUCCUCUUGGUCCAGUCUUAUGCGUGAGGGCAGAGCACAAGUUCCAGAUUCGUUCGGUGUACAAAAUGGGCCGGACAUGAAACUUGAAGUAAUGGAAGAAAAACUGCUCAGGGAUUUAACCAAGGAGAUUGCCACCCUCCUUUCAACGAUGGCUUCUCCUGGUUUAAACCCUGGGCUUCCUGUUUUGGAGCAUUCAGGCCAUGUGGGCCGUAUGGACAUGUCUACUCUCAAGGAUUUGCUUGCAUUUAAAUCCAACUCAAUAGUGGGCACUGCAGAUCUGUUUGGAAGUGUUUACAUGGACAGAUGGGGAGGCAACCACCAAAGUCUGUUCCUUUUGUGGUGUUGUUGUCCUUCUAGCGAUUCUAACAAAUAACGUUGAGCUCAGAGAAUUUGUGUCAAAAGAUUUGUUUUCUUCGGUCAUUAGAGGUUUAGCCUUGGAGUCAAAUGCCGUAAACAGCUCUGAUCUAGUUAAUCUAUGCCGUGAAAUAUUUAUUUACCUCUCAGACAGAGACCAAGCUCCCCGUCAGGUUUUGCUUUCACUUCCUUGUCUCACACCCAACGACUUGCGUGCUUUCGAAGAAACCGUGGCGAAAACGCCAAGUCCCAAAGAGCAGAAGCAACUCAUGAGGAGCUUGUUGCUGUUAGGUACAGGGAACAACUUAAGAGCACUUGCUGCUCAGAAAACCAUGAAUGUUAUCACCAACGUCACUUUAAGGUCACGCGGACCACCAAGCACUUCAGAUGCUAAAGAAGACGAAGCGGAAACAAUCGGGUUGGCCAGUGUUUUGUGAGGUGAAACUAUCUUAUUAGAUAAAGCUGGAGCCUGACGUGUGUUAUUGUAUUAAUAUAAAAUUUUCUAUUGUUAGUUAUUCAUUUUUCAAAGAAAACAAAAUAACAAAAAAGAAAGAAAAGGAAAAUUGAUUUUUUAAAAUAGAAACUAUAAAAUCGAAAAA